GUCAGCCCCGGUCCUGGGCUGUCCUGCUGGUGAAUAUGGAUUAGGUUCACCUGGCUCAGUCCCAAUCACCGGCUGACUGAUUUCCCCCUGUAGCACACUGUUCUCCUUCAAGCUUCUUGAUUUCAUUGCUAUCUCCAUGACCACCUCAGUGAGGCUCCAGCUGUUUCCAUGGUGCUGGAAUUCUGCUGCCAGAACCACGGCUUCCCAUACAACCACGACUCGAGCAAGAGGAGCUUGUUUUGUUGCGGUUUUAACUUGCUGCCUGUUCUAGCUCUCUGCCAGUCUCUGUCUGCGUCUCUCAAUCUCCGUCUAGAUCAUGUUCAAAGAGGAUUAUGUCGCCUUUCGUCACUUAUACAGCUAAAAGGGCUCGGGUGAUCAGCCAAUGGGACACAAGCAUUGUUUUUAUUAAGUGGCGCGCAGUGUCGUAUUUCAGUAAAAGCAUGCUGCGGAAUGGACAAGGAGAUGAAAUCCUUGCUCUGAACAUUUCAGCAAAGGAGAACUCCAAGAAAACCAGUAUCUGGUGGAAGAGGUCGACUGUUCACCUCAGAGCAGGAGACCCACAUUGUAAAUAUGGUCAUUGCAAAUCACUGCAUCAGACUCAGAGAACAGCAGGACCACAUAAUGGCAGAUAACACCGUAUUCCAAAACGUCAACAGAGUGAGUCUCUCUGCACUGUCUCGUCUACUGAAACACAAUAGAAUUAGAAUGAAGCAGCUGUACAGAGUCCCUUUCGAAAGAAACGCAGACCGUGUAAAACAACUGAGAUAUGAAUAUGCGCAGAGAGUCAUGGAGCUAGAAGCAAAUGCAGUACAUCAUGAGCUAAUAUAUGUGGACGAGGCAGGUUUCAACCAUGCAAAAAUAUCAUCGGACACGUGCCAUCAUCAACGUCCCGGGACAACGCGGUGGCAACAUAACAACGUGUGUGGCUAUUAGUCAAAACGGCGUCCUUCACCAUCAUGCAAUCCUAGGCCCAUACAACACUGCACACAUUAUCACAUUUCUGGACACCCUCCACAACAGACUAAUCUCUAAUGACCAGGGGCCAGAGCAGCCCAGGUACGUUAUCAUCUGGGACAAUGUUAGUUUCCACCGGGCUGCUGUGGUCCGCAAUUGGUUCACAGGUCACCCACUUUUCAGCACACUCAAUCCCCCCCCAUACUCUCGGUUCUUGAAUCCUAUUGAAAAGUGAUUCUCUGCAUGGCGUUGGAAGGUGUACGAUCGCCAGCCCCACCAACGCAUACCCCUUCUACAGGCGAUAGAGGAGGCUUGUGGAGACAUGGAUCAGAGGUCAUGCCAGGCCUGGAUACGGCACUCCAGGCGAUACUUUCCACGCUGCCUAGCUCAAGACAACAUCGCAUGUGCUGUGAAUGAAGUCUUAUGGCCAGACCCACAAAGAAGCCUAAUUUUAUUCUGUUCUUUUUUCUCUCUAGCACAAAUAUUUUUGUUUUCUUCUACUGCGUUUUUGUUGUUUGAGGAGUGUUAGAACAUUCUGAGAAAAAACUAAACUUUUCCCCCUUAUUUGUAUUGAUAGUGUGUAAUGUUCGGAAUACACAUCCAUACUUUACAUGUUUGGAUACCUGUGUGUAUAUGUUUUUACUACACGUAUGACAAAACUUUAUUGCAAACUGCUAUGCCCUGCACAUAAAAAAGUGUUUUUCAUUUAUACUAUCAGUGCGUAGUUGGUGCUUCGUGUGCUUAUUCAAAUUGUGGUUUGUGUGUACUGUAUUGACGCUUUGUUUGAAGAGUUUUGCAAGAAUUGUUUGCUUUUGCAAGAGAUGAGAUAAUGUUUUGCUGGUUAGGUUUAAGGUUUUGUGGUUAGUGUGUAGAGUUUUGCAAAAAUAGCCUAUAGUUUCAAAGAUAGUGCCUAAGCAAUCAUAAAAAAAAUGUAAAUAGCGAAUGGAGGACGGUUUUCCUGUGGUUCAUUUUCCUGCCAGCCAGGUAGGCUAUUACUCCUGUUGUAAAGAUAAGCAAUGUGCCUAAUAUUUGCUUAAUAUUAGGAAAGUUGAAAAAUAAAUAAAGUAGGUCUAGCCUAUAGAAAGCUGAUGGGAUCCUCCUCUUUUUAAUAGAGGCCAUCACUCUGUUUUCUCCGCAAUUGCAUAGCCUAUAGAAAUGUUGCGCAACAUGAGCUCAUGGGCUCUCGUGAAGUGUUUGAUUAUAUUUUCGAUUACAUUUAUGUCAGAGUGAUUAGGGGGACAAUAGAGUGCUAAGUACCAGACAGUUAGCAAGUUUGGUAGGCUACUAAUGACUAUCAGCGUCAUCAGAGCUUGGAGAAGCCUAAUUAUCAUGAGUAAGCGGUCACCAGGAAUUUGACUGCCUUCAUGACUCGUGACCACUAGUGUGGUGGUAAUACAGUCACCGCAACAGCCCUAAACAUAACCAUACUAAACAUUUACUUUUUGGAUAAAAGCAUAUGCUAAGUGGUGCAUAAGUCAUGAGAAGUGUUGUGAUGAAUACCUGAA